rnacentral:rRNA from 1 species
UGCAGUCGAGCGGUAACAUUUCUAGCUUGCUAGAAGAUGACGAGCGGCGAACGGGUGAGUAAUGCUUGGGAAUAUGCCUUAUGGUGGGGGACAACAGUUGGAAACGACUGCUAAUACCGCAUAAUGUCUACGGACCAAAGGGGGGGAUCUUCGGACCUCUCGCCAUUUGAUUAGCCCAAGUGAGAUUAGCUAGUUGGUGAGGUAAUGGCUCACCAAGGCGACGAUCUCUAGCUGGUUUGAGAGGAUGAUCAGCCACACUGGGACUGAGACACGGCCCAGACUCCUACGGGAGGCAGCAGUGGGGAAUAUUGCACAAUGGGCGCAAGCCUGAUGCAGCCAUGCCGCGUGUGUGAAGAAGGCCUUCGGGUUGUAAAGCACUUUCAGUAAGGAGGAAAGGGAUGUAGUUAAUAACUGCAUUCUGUGACGUUACUUACAGAAGAAGCACCGGCUAACUUCGUGCCAGCAGCCGCGGUAAUACGAGGGGUGCAAGCGUUAAUCGGAAUUACUGGGCGUAAAGCGUUCGUAGGCGGUUGAUUAAGCAAGAUGUGAAAGCCCAGGGCUCAACCUUGGAACUGCAUUUUGAACUGGUCAACUAGAGUACUGUAGAGGGUGGUGGAAUUUCCAGUG